rnacentral:rRNA from 1 species
UACGUAGGGGGCAAGCGUUGUCCGGAUUUAUUGGGCGUAAAGCGCGUGUAGGCGGCCAGAUAGGUCUGCUGUGAAAACUCGAGGCUCAACCUCGAGCUGUCGGCGGAAACCAUCUGGCUAGAGCCCGGAAGAGGAGAGUGGAAUUCCUGGUGUAGCGGUGAAAUGCGCAGAUAUCAGGAAGAACACCUAUGGCGAAGGCAGCUCUCUGGGACGGUACUGACGCUGAGACGCGAAAGCGUGGGGAGCGAACAGG